rnacentral:rRNA from 1 species
CUUCGGGGGAUUUGUUGGGCGGCGAGCGGCGGACGGGUGAGUAAUGCCUAGGAAAUUGCCCUGAUGUGGGGGAUAACCAUUGGAAACGAUGGCUAAUACCGCAUGAUGCCUACGGGCCAAAGAGGGGGACCUUCGGGCCUCUCGCGUCAGGAUAUGCCUAGGUGGGAUUAGCUAGUUGGUGAGGUAAGGGCUCACCAAGGCGACGAUCCCUAGCUGGUCUGAGAGGAUGAUCAGCCACACUGGAACUGAGACACGGUCCAGACUCCUACGGGAGGCAGCAGUGGGGAAUAUUGCACAAUGGGCGCAAGCCUGAUGCAGCCAUGCCGCGUGUAUGAAGAAGGCCUUCGGGUUGUAAAGUACUUUCAGUCGUGAGGAAGGUUCNUGCGUUAAUAGCGUANGGAUUUGACGUUAGCGACAGAAGAAGCACCGGCUAACUCCGUGCCAGCAGCCGCGGUAAUACGGAGGGUGCGAGCGUUAAUCGGAAUUACUGGGCGUAAAGCGCAUGCAGGUGGUUAGUUAAGUCAGAUGUGAAAGCCCGGGGCUCAACCUCGGAAUUGCAUUUGAAACUGGCUGACUAGAGUACUGUAGAGGGGGGUAGAAUUUCAGGUGUAGCGGUGAAAUGCGUAGAGAUCUGAAGGAAUACCGGUGGCGAAGGCGGCCCCCUGGACAGAUACUGACACUCAGAUGCGAAAGCGUGGGGAGCAAACAGGAUUANAUACCCU